GACAGAGGGUGCAAGCGUUGUUCGGAAUUAUUGGGCGUAAAGGGCGCGUAGGCGGCUGAGCAAGUCGAAUGUGAAAGCUCUGGGCUUAACCCAGAAAGUGCAUUUGAUACUGCUCAACCUGAGUCCCGGAGAGGGUGGUGGAAUUCCCAGUGUAGAGGUGAAAUUCGUAGAUAUUGGGAGGAACACCGGUGGCGAAGGCGACCACCUGGACGGAGACUGACGCUGAGGCGCGAAAGCGUGGGGAGCAAACAGG
rnacentral:rRNA from 1 species